CGGCCGCGGUACUUGACCGUGCAAAGGUAGCAUAAUCAUUUGCCUUAUAAUUGAAGGCUGGAAUGAAUGGUUUGACAAGAAUACACCUGUCUCUUUUAGAUUAUUUAGAAUUUUAUUUUUAGGUGAAAAAGCCUAGAUUUUAUUAAAAGACAAGAAGACCCUAUCGAGCUUCAGAAAAAUUGAUAGAGUAACUAUGCUUAAUAUUAAUUAAAAAAAAGCUAUUAAAUACUUUGGUUGGGGCAACCGAGGAGUAGAUAAAGCCUCCUUUAAAUAAAGAAAUCUUACUUGAGAGGAUCCAAGAAUUUUGAUCAAAGGAAUUAGUUACCGUAGGGAUAACAGCAUUAUCUUUUUUGAGAGCCCAUAUCGAAAAAAAGGUUUGUGACCUCGAUGUUGGACCAGAAUAUCAUGCAGAAGUCUUU
rnacentral:rRNA from 1 species